rnacentral:tRNA from 1 species
GGCCCUGGGGUUUUAUCACGUGGGGUUGCAAACCCUAAGACGCAGGUUAACGCCUGCCGGGGCUU